GACGUAGGAUGCAAGCGUUACUCGGAAUCACUGGGCGUAAAGCGUCUGUAGGCGUCCCCGUAAGUCUGGCGUAAAAGCGCGAAGCUCAACUUCGCGUACGUGCCGGAAACUGCAGGGAUUGAGCAACUCAGAGGCACCUGGAAUGCUGUGUGUAGGGGUAAUAUCCGUUGAUACACAGUGGAACGCUAAAAGCGAAAGCAGGGUGCUGGGGGUUUGCUGACGCUGAGAGACGAAAGCGUGGGGAGCAAACGGG
rnacentral:rRNA from 1 species